CGCGUAGGCUGAUGUUUAAGUUAAUUGUGAAAUCCCUGGGCUUAACCUAGGAAUUGCAGUUAAUACUGGACGUCUAGAGUAUGGUAGAGGAAAGUGGAAUUCUCGGUGUAGUGGUUAAAUACGUAGAUAUCGAGAAGAACACCGGUGGCGAAGGCGACUUUCUGGACCAAUACUGACGCUGAGGCGCGAAAGCGUGGGGAGCAAACAGGAUUAGAUACCCUGGUAGUCCACGCUGUAAACGAUGAGAACUAGAUGUUGCGUAACUUUGUUAUGCAGUAUCGCAGCUAACGCAUUAAGUUCUCCGCCUGGGGAGUACGAUCGCAAGAUUAAA
rnacentral:rRNA from 1 species